rnacentral:lncRNA from 1 species
AUAUUUUAAAAAUAGUACAGUAUUUUAAAAUUUUAUCAUUGAAAUAUUGGAGGAGAUCGAUAAGCAACUAAAUUUAGGGAAAUCAGUGUAACAACAACUAUUGAAAGGAAUUAAUGGAAGAGUCGAUGGAUUUUAGUGUGUAAACGAAGUUAUCAGCGAUUGGAUGAGUGAGGCCAUAGUGGUAGUCAUCAAAGUUAUCAAAUCAAUAGGGCACGGGUCAUAGUGGCAGAGUCAUCAAUGUUAUCAGAUGAAUGGUGCAUGAUGUUAAAAGUCAUCCACAUUUGAAACUCGAAAUCGAGACGAUUUACACUUGAAAUGGAUGGCUUAGAAAUUUUAUUGCAAAAUGUAACUUCCAGAGAUGGCUUAUAAAUUUUAUUGCAAAAUGAAAU